rnacentral:rRNA from 1 species
AUUGAACGCUGGCGGCAGGCUUAACACAUGCAAGUCGAGCGGUAGCACAGGGGAGCUUGCUCCCUGGGUGACGAGCGGCGGACGGGUGAGUAAUGUCUGGGAAACUGCCUGAUGGAGGGGGAUAACUACUGGAAACGGUAGCUAAUACCGCAUAACGUCGCAAGACCAAGAGGGGGACCUUCGGGCCUCUUGCCAUCAGAUGUGCCCAGAUGGGAUUAGCUAGUAGGUGGGGUAAUGGCUCACCUAGGCGACGAUCCCUAGCUGGUCUGAGAGGAUGACCAGCCACACUGGAACUGAGACACGGUCCAGACUCCUACGGGAGGCAGCAGUGGGGAAUAUUGCACAAUGGGCGCAAGCCUGAUGCAGCCAUGCCGCGUGUGUGAAGAAGGCCUUCGGGUUGUAAAGCACUUUCAGCGAGGAGGAAGGUGGUGAGCUUAAUACGUUCAUCAAUUGACGUUACUCGCAGAAGAAGCACCGGCUAACUCCGUG